UACGUAGGGGGCAAGCGUUGUCCGGAAUUAUUGGGCGUAAAGAGCGUGUAGGCGGUCCGGUAAGUCAGCUGUGAAAGUCAAGGGCUCAACCCUUGAAUGCCGGUUGAUACUGUCGGGCUAGAGUCCGGAAGAGGCGAGUGGAAUUCUCGGUGUAGCGGUGAAAUGCGCAGAUAUCGGGAGGAACACCAAUGGCGAAGGCAGCUUGCUGGGACGGUACUGACGCUGAGGCGCGAAAGCGUGGGGAGCAAACAGG
rnacentral:rRNA from 1 species